AAUCAAAGGGAAACAAUCCAGAGCUGGUUUUGUUUGAAUCGGCAGAUGUAAGUUGCAAGCCAUAGAAACCACCCUGGCUGCUUUCUGCAGAGGAGGAGUUGACGGAGAUCAGGCGGCUUCCGCAAGCUCUGGAGAUCAGAGGACAUGGCCUGGAAACCACACAGGCAGAAAGCUGUCCGGAAGACAACCGGUCCUCCUGUCGCGGACGCCCUUCUACACCUGCGACCGGGCCCAGACCCUAAUGACACUGGGCACCGAAUACUUUUAUUAGAGACACACUCAACAUUUGCAGGGCCCAGAGAAAGAGUACAAAUGGAGGCCCACAUCCAGUCUAUCAAAAUAUUUCAAAUGAUUGAGCCAAUAGGCUGCUAAAUGCACUUUAUUUAAAUCUGUUCCAGUAUGCCACGUCUGCAUAAUAAGACAUCCCAAAACUUACUACAACCUCAGCAGAGAGGCAUCAGGAAAGCGUUAGCUACGAGGAAGAGCUUGCGGACCGGAAAGCCAGAUCCGGAAGGGCUUGUGCCUGCCCCGUAUGUCUGAGGCUUGGGCUGGAAGCUUGAAAGGCUGAGGACAGGAAUCAUCUGCCUGUGGAUUUACUCACCGCUUUGGGGUCCAAGAGGACGGCGCGAUCUGCCCCCAGGAGACAGACGCAAAGGUCUGCACAGGCCCUGGAAGAGAGCCUGGGGUGAUUUGGACAGCGGGUUUGGAAUCCCAACAGUUGUGUCAUGGUGUAGAGAGGAAGACCAGAGCAGAACGGAGAUCCCGAAUGAAGAGGAUUUAACAGCCCCAGGCAGCCAAGAAGAAUGGCAAAUGUUCAAGACAAAUAUUAAUUACAGUCCACAUCAA